UAUAAGGCUGAGAUUCAGAGUCUUUGGCUUUGGUUUAGCCAGAAUUGGCCGGCAUAUCGAUAAUGCUCUGAAAUGUUGAUGACCUAUCGAUAAGUCAUCGAUAUGGGUCUGAUGGCGAAGUUUCCGCAUGUGAGCUGGAAAGAGAGCGACAUUUAUUUGUAAACAAUAGGAAAAUAUAGAUGCCUUGCAGGAACAUGGCGAGUUCAUGAACGGUGGAGUAUUCUGGCGACGACAGAGUAAAGCUGUUGGGUCGAGAACAGCUGGCGACCUUUGGCAGAUUUUGUUGCUGCAAGGUUUUGCGAAACGAUCCGUUUUGCAUUUUUGUUGGUGUUGCUGCCCGACCGGGUUUGCUUGCAGGUGCAGGCGCUAGCAGAGGACGAGAUGGACCAGAUGAUUGCCAAGAUGCUGCACGAGGACUCGCAGGCGGUGCUGCUGCUGGCUGACAUGGAUUAACAGAUGGACGAGCUGCAGACGGACUAGCUUGACGAGAUGCUGGACGACGUAGAUGAGACGAUGCAUACG